GACGAACGCUGGCGGCGUGCUUAACACAUGCAAGUCGAACGAAGAGCGAUGGAAGCUUGCUUCUAUCAAUCUUAGUGGCGAACGGGUGAGUAACGCGUAAUCAACCUGCCCUUCAGAGGGGGACAACAGUUGGAAACGACUGCUAAUACCGCAUACGAUCUAACCUUGGCAUCGAGGAUAGAUGAAAGGUGGUCUCUACAUGUAAGCUAUCACUGAAGGUGGGGAUUGCGUCUGAUUAGCUAGUUGGAGGGGUAGCGGCCCACCAAGGCGAUGAUCAGUAGCCGGUCUGAGAGGAUGAACGGCCGCAUUGGGAGUGAGACACGGCCCAGACUCCUAGGGGAGGCAGCAGUGGGGAAUCUUCCGCAAUGGGCGGAAGUCUGACGGAGCAACGCCGCGUGAGUAAUGACGGCCUUCGGGUUGUAGAGCUCUGUUAAUCGGGACGAAAGGCCUUCUUGCGAAUAGUUAGAGGGAUUGACGGUACCGGAAUAAAAAGCCACGGCUAACUACGUG
rnacentral:rRNA from 1 species